AAGAAUAUAGUUAAAUAUAACAUUUGAUUUGCAUUCAAAAAGUAUUAGAAAUUCUAAUUAUUCUUA
rnacentral:tRNA from 1 species